AACGAACGCUGGCGGCAGGCCUAAUACAUGCAAGUCGAACGCCCCGCAAGGGGAGUGGCGCACAGGUGAGUAACGCGUGGGAAUGUGCCCUUAGGUGCGGAACAACGUUUGGAAACGAACGCUAAUACCGCAUAAUAUCUCCGGAUCAAAGAUUUAUCGCCUAGGGAUCAGCCCGCGUUGGAUUAGCUAGUUGGUGGGGUAACGGCCUACCAAGGCGACGAUCCAUAGCUGGUCUGAGAGGAUGAUCAGCCACACUGGGACUGAGACACGGCCCAGACUCCUACGGGAGGCAGCAGUAAGGAAUAUUGGACAAUGGGGGCAACCCUGAUCCAGCCAUGCCGCGUGAGUGAUGAAGGCCUUCGGGUUGUAAAGCUCUUUUAGGUGUGACGAUGAUGACGGUAACACCAGAAAAAGCUCCGGCUAACUUCGUGCCAGCCGCCGCCGUAAGAC
rnacentral:rRNA from 1 species